UACGUAGGGUGCAAGCGUUACUCGGAAUUACUGGGCGUAAAGCGUGCGCAGGCGGUUGUGCAAGACAGAUGUGAAAGCCCCGGGCUCAACCUGGGAACGGCAUUUGUGACUGCACGGCUAGAGUGUGUCAGAGGGGGGUAGAAUUCCACGUGUAGCAGUGAAAUGCGUAGAGAUGUGGAGGAAUACCGAUGGCGAAGGCAGCCCCCUGGGAUAACACUGACGCUCAUGCACGAAAGCGUGGGGAGCAAACAGG
rnacentral:rRNA from 1 species